ensembl:lncRNA
CCUCUUUGAUUUUCUUCAGCUGAGCCUCCAGAACUGAGCACAGCUGAGAGGAGCUGCGGAAAUUAAAUAAAUUCUAAACAAACAGCUUAUUGAUAUAUUGCCUAGUAACUCGAAGCCGAAUGUAACCUCAGAAGAUCAUUAUGCUUUAUUCUUUGCUAUAGAUUUUCACUGCUUCCCCGGCUUGAAUUCAGUCUGAAACAAGGAGAGUAGGGAUGUAAGGAGGUGGAGGAUGAGGAGAGAAGAGAUAUGGAAGGUGCUCUCAUGAUGGAAGGCGCUACCAGGACGGAAGGUGCUAUCAUGAUGGAAGAUGCUACCACGAUGGACAUGCUACCACGAUGGAAGGUGCUAUCAUGGUGGAAGAUGCUACCAUGACGGAGGUGAUACCGCAAUGGAAGGUGCUGCACAGCGACAUGGGUUGGCAAGGGGUCCCACUCUGGCACAGUCACUCCCCUUCCAUACACCUGCCAUCCUGGGUCCCAGGCGUGCCAUUUCUGAGCAUAACUCUAUUCCCAUACAGCAGUUUUUACAAUACAUUCAUAGAAUGCAAAUCAAGUGCAGUGUAGAGAAUGGUGGCUGCAUUUUAUAGUCUUCACGUAACUCAGAGGGGCGGAUGGAGCAGCAGGGAUGCUCAGAGGCUGCACCUCACCAGCACACACCAUUUACAAAAGGUUUGGUGAUCUUCACCAGCAAAGGAUGUGGUUGAGAAACUCUUUUGCCUUUGAAGGAAUUACACAGAAGACAUCUCUGUGCAAGACCCAUUCCUCUCCAACAAAAAACUGCUGCUCCUGUUCAUACCCAAUGCAGGUACAGGAAUCCAAAGAGCAGAUCUGGCCCAUCUUCCCACAAAUGAGGAACCAGAAGGUUUAUUUUUCUGUUCUGCCAAUGCUGCCAAUCAUCACUCACGUUUCCAUACGUGAGGCAUUUUCAAUCCCAGCUGUGCAGCAUUUACACCACUGACAUUACCCUACAGUGCAUGCAAACAGCCCAGCAGCCAGAAUCAGCCUUGCCCAAAGCUGCUCUACAGUGCAGUUUCUCCACACCCCAUUUACCUGGGGCUGUCCUGGGAGCGUGACACAGCCAAGAGCUCGAAGCCUACACAACAUCAGGACAGUGCUGCACAACAUCCAGAACCAUGCUGUGAAGAGCAGUCAGCCCUGACCUGUGCAUUGCUGCACUGUCUCUAGUUUCUGUUAUCCACAGUUGACAUUUUUCCUUUCCACAGUUCUACUUUUCUGCAUUUAUUUUCUGCACACUCCUUUUAUGUACGCUCAGUUACAAUAGUGAUCAAAGAACUCAGAAGUUCCUAUGCAAAUGAAGUUACGAAUUUGCGGUUUGGGAAGAAUGUAAAACCCACUCAUUCUAUUUAUAUUGAAAUAUUUUAAUGUAUUUUUAAUGCCUUGGCCCUGGCAAAGUGAAUUUCAUUCAAGGAAGUGAUAUAUUGAGCAAACAUUAUUCUCCUAGGUUUAUUUCUUUGUCAAAUAAUUGAUUUUUUUUUAAUGUCUCAUAUUACAGCUAACGUUACAUAAAUGCAGAGAGAAGAAUUGCUUGGUUAACGUGCAUUUCUCACGAGGGCCCCUUCAGGGCUACAAGCCCCAUUUCUAUGAAGCAAGCUCCUGCUGCUUUGUUUUGUCCACACCGCUGACUGCUUGCAGCAGCUGAUGGGCUCCAGGGAAGCAAUGGUGUGGGCUGGGCACCAGCUGGCUCUAACUCAAGCUGGGUUCAGGUUGGAUAUGAGGAACAAUUCCUUCUCCAAAGAGCAGUCAGGCAGUGGCACAGCUGCCAGGGAGUGGGGGUCAUCAUCCUUAGGGGUGUCCCAGAGCUGUGGAGAUGUGGCACUGAGGGACGUGGGCAGUGGACAUGGGGGGGUGGGCUGGGACUGGGAUUUGGGGAUCUUAGAAGUCUUCUCCAGCCUUAAUGAUUCUAUGAUUCUAUGAGUCUGUGAUUCUAUGAUUCUAUGAUUCUAACUUGCUCCUGGAUGACCACAUGCAGGGCCAGAGCUUGUCAAACAUGGGAAAAGCACAGGACCCAAGAAUACCGCUUGUCUCGUGCUUUCUAACUUCCUGUGCAGUUUCUCUUUAGACAAAAGUGGAGAUCGCUGCCAAAAUCAGAUACUCAGGGAACUCUCUUGCUUGUAAAACCAACCGCUCCCACGUGACACGCGAACAUCUGGAAUCCAUCCCUCCCAGUGCAGCCUUGCUCCAAGCACGCUCAGAUAUCAGCCCGGAGGGGAGCGCAUGCGGCU